CGGGACACGUGGUAUCCUGUCUGAAUAUGGGGGGACCAUCCUCCAAGGCUAAAUACUCCUGACUGACCGAUAGUGAACCAGUACCGUGAGGGAAAGGCGAAAAGAACCCCGGCGAGGGGAGUGAAAAAGAACCUGAAACCGUGUACGUACAAGCAGUGGGAGCCUCUUUAUGGGGUGACUGCGUACCUUUUGUAUAAUGGGUCAGCGACUUAUAUUCUGUAGCAAGGUUAACCGAAUAGGGGAGCCGAAGGGAAACCGAGUCUUAACUGGGCGUUAAGUUGCAGGGUAUAGACCCGAAACCCGGUGAUCUAGCCAUGGGCAGGUUGAAGGUUGGGUAACACUAACUGGAGGACCGAACCGACUAAUGUUGAAAAAUUAGCGGAUGACUUGUGGCUGGGGGUGAAAGGCCAAUCAAACCGGGAGAUAGCUGGUUCUCCCCGAAAGCUAUUUAGGUAGCGCCUCGUGAAUUCAUCUCCGGGGGUAGAGCACUGUUUCGGCAAGGGGGUC
rnacentral:rRNA from 1 species